UUGGCAGGGCUAGGAGCUCACCUUUGUUCAAGCCAUUGUAUGAGCCCUAUUUUGAGGAACAUCAUUGUUCUUUCAGCUCAAUAGGGUUUUCUUUUGUGGGUGUAUGGGCUGUGCCAACCAUCAACCAUGAGGUUGAAAAGAGUAAGGACUAUUUCAUCCUGAUUAUUUGUUUGGACUGAUUUUUCUUGGGAUAUACCUUGAUGCUUGUACUGGAAUGGGAAAUGGAUGCUUAAUAUGGACAUUAACCAUUGUGAGCUUCAACAACAAUGUUCAUCUAUGAUUCUCUACUCCUUUAAGAAGAGUGUUAUAAGGUAGUGGGGUUUCAUGUCUGUAUGUGAUCAGGUUCAAUGGUGUAUUUUUCUGUGUUUUUUUUUUGUUUUAUAUUGUACUGGGGU